ensembl:lncRNA
ACAAAUAAGAAUAAUUUAAAUGCGUCAAAUCUAAAAUAUGGUGUAGAGUAAAUAUAAGCACAGGCUCAUAGGCUUGACAUUUAUCCUGCUUGAAUUCGUUCUAAGAAACGCACACAUCUUCAUAAGGACUAAACUUUCAUCUGUGAAUAUUAAAUAUUUUAAUUAGCCUAAAGUGUUUUCCUUUCAUUUUCCCCGACUGCAGUCAAAUAUAACAAAACGGUGAGGCAAAGCUGACGUCUAUUCGCGAAAAUGUGCUUUGAUGCGCUUGUUUGAAAACUUGUGAUUAAAGCGCCAUUCAGCGGACAUGUAAACUUGCAAAACAUCACUAUAUUUACUUGUAAAACCAUGUCCUACAUAGGAGUUUGUUUGACCUGUUAGCCAUCUUCCAUGUUUUAGACCUCUGGCAGAGGUGUCUUUGGGGGACAUUGGUCAGCAGCACAAGAAACGUCACAGAAGUCCUCCAGCAAAAUAGAUGAGGAGGGCCUAGAACUUGCAGUUUGCCAGCAUGGUGUUCUUCUUUGUGCCCUUAAUAUGUUCAGGGGGAGGUUUUUGCUUACCCCUGUACCUCCAGAAAAAAAAUGGCUUGUAAGCCGGUGAAAUUUUUUGCUAUGGAUGUUGCGUGCAAGUACUGGCCUUACCUCCAGAGAGGGAACGAGAGAUGCCCUGAGCUUCAGGAUCUGCUCUCAAUGAAGCCAUUUCUAUCAGUGUUUCAUGCCAAAGCCCACGACUUCAAAUGUGAGGUAAGAAAAUGUGACUUUUCAUGUGAUGUUCUUUCCCUAAACAUAAUAUUGUUGCCACUUAGAUUUAUUAUUUUUUUCUUUUUUUAUUUGAAGGUAAAAUGGAGUGGGGCAUACCAGGAGGGGGCUGGUUUGACUCUUGGGGAGGAGGUGGAGCAAUGCAAUGCCUUCCUCUCGAGGAUUGCUGUUACGACAAAGCACAUGUCAAAAGCAGGCCACAAUAGCUCUGCAAAGACAGUUGCAUAAUUUGGAGGCCAUGAAAACUGAAAUGGCAGUUACAGAUGAUCAACUGGAGGGCUGGAUCACUGAUGUCAAUGAGUGGGCAGAAGGUAUAAAAUGCAGUUUGGUAUACUGCUUAAUGCAUUAUUUUUCUGUUCGUUGAAUUAUUGGUGAAACACAGUGUCAAC